GUGUGUGCCCCCCCCGGGCACUGAGCGCCGCCCAUGGGACAAUGGUGGCCCACGCACCCACGUGUGGCACCGAGCUGUGGCGCUGACACGGCGGCGAUGACAAUGCUACGCUGAGGGUGACAGCGCUGUGCUGGGGGUGACAACACUACGUCGGGGGUGACAACGCCGUGUUGGUUGUGACAACACUACGUCGCGUGUGACAACACUACAUCGGCUGUGACAACGCUACGUCAGCUGUGACAACACCGUGUCGGGUGUGACAACACUACACCGGGUGUGACAACGCUACAUGGGAUGGAACAACGCUACAUUGGGUGUGACAACACGACAUCGGGUGUCACACUGCCACGUCGGGUGUCACAACACUGCGUCGCGUGUGACAAUGCUAUGUCAGGUGUCACAACACCGUGCCGGGUGUGACGACACUACCUCGGGUGUGACAAUGCUACAUGGGGUGUGACAGCGCUGCGCCGCGUGUGACAACACUGCUGGGUGUAACAACACCGCGUUGGGGGUCACAACGCUACGUGGGGUGUACAAGCACUAUGUGGAGUGUGACAACACCGUGUUGGGUGGAACAGUGCUGCACUGGGUGUGAUAAUGUUAUGUUGGGGGUGACAGCAGUACACUGGGUGUGACAACGCUGUGUUGGGUGUGACAACACUAUAUUGGGUGUGACAGUGCUACACUGAGUGUAAUGACACUGUGUUAGGUGUGACAGCAACACUGUGUCGGGUGUGACAACACUGCACUGGGUGUAGCAGUGCUACGCUGGGUGUGACAGCACCGUGCUGAGUGUAACAACACCACAUUGGGUGUGACAGCAACGCUGUGUCAGGUGUAACAACACCACAUUGGCUGUAACAACACUACACUGGGUGUAAUAAUGCUAUGCUGGGUGUAACGAUGCUGCCUCGGGUGUGAUAACACUGCGCUGGGUGUAAUGACAAUGCUGCAUCGGGUGUAACAAUGCUACGUUGGCUGUAAUGAUGCUAUGUUGGGGGUGACAACACUACAUUGGGGGUGACAGCGCUGUG
rnacentral:lncRNA from 1 species